CUGCUCUUCAAUAUUUGCUCAAAUCCAUUACUUGAAAAGCAACAAUAAUGGUGGUCCUGUCCAAUCCAGGAAUUGAACAGUUGUCAUGUGUAGGAAACUGCAAACCCACCACAUUAUUUUCUGGAAUCCCCAUUAUAGACCUUUCCAAACCUGACUCUAAACACCUCCUUGUUAAGGCCUGUGAGGAAUUUGGAUUCUUCAAGGUUGUCAACCAUGAAGUCCCCAUGGAAUUAAUUUCCAGGCUUGAAUCUCAAGCUAUCAACUUCUUCUCAUUACCUCUUUCGGAGAAGGAAAAAGCAGGCCCUCCUAACCCCUUUGGCUAUGGUAAUAAAAGCAUUGGACCAAACGGCGAUGUGGGUUGGGUCGAAUACCUUCUCUUCACCAUCAAUCAAGAAUCCAUUUCCCAGAGGUUGCUUCCAGUUUUUGGGCACAACCCAAAUGAGUUUAGGUCUGCUUUGAAUGAUUACAUAUCAGCUGUGAAAAAGAUGGCAUGUGAGAUUCUUGAAAUGAUGGCUGAUGGUUUAAUAAUCCAACCAAGAAAUGUGUUCAGUAAACUUUUAAUGGACGAACAGAGUGACUCUGUUUUCAGGCUAAACCACUACCCUCCAUGCACAGGGCCUGGGAUUCAAACUCUGAAUUCUAACAAUAUGAUUGGCUUUGGAGAGCAUACAGACCCACAAAUCAUUUCUGUGCUAAGAUCCAACAACACAUCUGGCCUGCAAAUCUCUCUAGGGGAUGGCAACUGGAUUUCAGUCCCACCUGACCAGAACUCCUUUUUCAUCAAUGUUGGUGACUCUUUGCAGGUGAUGACAAAUGGGAGGUUUAAAAGUGUGAGGCAUAGGGUUUUGGCUAACAGCAUGAAAUCAAGAGUUUCCAUGAUAUAUUUUGGUGGACCACCUUUGAGUGAGAAAAUAGCUCCAUUACCCCCACUGAUGAAGGGAGAGGAGGAAAGCUUGUACAAAGAAUUUACCUGGUUUGAGUACAAAAGAUCUGCAUAUAACUCAAGAUUGGCUGAUAAUAGGCUUGUUCUCUUUCAGAAAAUAGCAGCCUCCUGAUUUGCACAAAAUCAAGAACUUACUUUUACUCUUUGGUAAAUGGUGUUUACAAAUACUUUUGAAUUGGUCUAUUUCUCUUCUUUAAUAUUCAUGACAUGUUAUUAUUUGUACUUUCUUAUUAAUAAUAUAAUCAAUUUAUU
rnacentral:misc_RNA from 1 species